rnacentral:lncRNA from 1 species
ACCAUUUAAAAAAUUAUAGUAAUAGUGCAAUAAUAUAUAAUAAUAUCAAUAGUAGUGCAAAUCUACAUCACAGAAACCAAAACAACUGAAAUACAAUCACCUUAAAUCUAGGAGAAAACUACUCCACUAUAUACGUCAGUUACCAACUAAAAAAAACAUUCCAAAAUCACGAAAAAAAAACCGAAUGAUCCAGAACAAAUCCGAAAGCUUCUACAGAUAUUCAUCGUCUUCAACCAAUUGAUCAUCUUCAAGAAAGGAUCAAUCGAAAAGAAGCAAAAGCAUUCAUACUAGAGAGGCCUAAUUCAAAAGCACAUAAAAUCGAAAACAGAGUAUCAGAAAUCGACAUGCACAAGCCGAUCACAGGAUUCCGAAACUGAAAGAACAGAUAUAAA